UAAUGUGAAGAUGUUGCUGAUGUGAU
rnacentral:piRNA from 1 species